rnacentral:rRNA from 1 species
UACGAGGGGUGCAAACGUUAUUCGGAAUGAUUGGGCGUAAAGGGCGCGUAGGCGGCAUGUUAAGUCAACUGUUCAAUCUCCCAGCCUAACUGGGAAUCUGCAGUAGAAACUGGCACGCUUGAGUAUGGAAGAGAGAAGUGGAAUUCUCGGAGUAGCGGUAAAAUGCGUAGAUCUCGAGAGGAACACCGAUGGCGAAGGCAGCUUCUUGGUCCAUUACUGACGCUGAGGCGCGAAAGCGUGGGGAGCAAACAGG